rnacentral:rRNA from 1 species
GAGUUUGAUCGUGGCUCAGAGCGAACGCUGGCGGCAUGCUUAACACAUGCAAGUCGCACGGUCAGCAAUGGGCAGUGGCGGACGGGGUGAGUAACACGUAGGAAUCUAUCUCUGGGUGGGGGACAACAGUGGGAAACUACUGCUAAUACCGCAUGAUACCUGAGGGUCAAAGGCGUAAGUCGCCUGGAGAGGAGCCUGCGUCUGAUUAGCUUGUUGGUGGGGUAAAGGCCUACCAAGGCUACGAUCAGUAGCUGGUCUGAGAGGAUGAUCAGCCACAUUGGGACUGAGACACGGCCCAAACUCCUACGGAGGCAGCGAGUGGGGAAUAUUGGGACAAUGGGCGAAAGCCUGAUCCAGCAAUGCCGCGUGUGUGAAGAAGGUCUUCGGAUUGUAAAGCACUUUUGGCAGGGACGAUGAUGACGGUACCUGCAGAAUAAGCCCCGGCUAACUUCGU